ACAGUCCUGAAGAAGAAGAAAAUAAGAAGAAGGACAAGGAGAAGAUCUACACACAUUUACACACAACAAGGCUCCGUCUCCUCCUGCAGGCUUUCAUCUCAGGAGGGACGUGAUGGCCCGGAAAAUACCAAGGGUCGAAUCUUGUCUCCUUUCAUUUCUAUUGGCCUCCAGUGUGUAUCCUCUGAGGGCCGAAUACUCCAGCUGUGGAGAAAAUGAGUUUUAUAACCACAGCAGCAGCAGCUGUCGGCCGUGUCCACAGUGCCAACCGGGACAGGAACCAUACAUGAACUGCGGCUACGGUGUUAAGGAUGAAGACUAUGACUGUGUGUCGUGUCCUCCGGGGAAAUUCUCCAGGGGAAAAUAUGAGAUCUGUCGUCGUCAUAAAGACUGUAACGCGCUGUACAAAGCCACGGUGCUGACGCCGGGUACGAGGGAGAGCGACGCCGAGUGUGGAGCCUGUUUACCCGGGUACUUCAUCUUGGAAAAUCGUCUGAGAAACAUCUACAGCAUGAUGUGUCAUUCCUGUCAGAACGCUCCACGCAACACCAAAGAGUGUAUGCGAACGACAUCCACUUCCACGAAGCAUGUCCCGGGAAUACCGUCCACCAGCACCACCACGUUCCCUCAUGCCCAAAAAGAUCCAACAGGGCAGGGUCACCUAGCAACAGCCCUCAUCAUCGCCAUGUCAACCAUCUUCAUCAUGGCCAUCGCCAUAGUGAUGAUCAUCAUGUUUUACAUCCUGAAAGCUAAGACGAGCGGCCAAGCAUGCUGUUCCGGUCAGAUUGUGAAGACCAUAGAAGCUCCGAUGAACAAGCAGGAGGAGAAGAAAGAAGCUCAAGAGAAUGCUGUAAUAUUCACAGAGAAGGACGAGUUCAAGCCUCCUCCAACAAAGGCAGUAAAAAGUGAAAAUGACGCGUCGUCCGAGAACGAGCAGCUGCUGAGCCGCAGCAUCGACAGCGAUGAAGAAGCGGCGCAGGAGAAACAAGGAGCCACCGAUCUGUGCCUUUUAUCUCUCGUUCAUCUCACCCGAGACAAGACCUGCUCAAACAACACCGUCAGCACCACCGUCAACAACAACAACAACAACUGCAGCAACAACAGCAGAACUAUGGGGAUUCACAGUCGAAGGAAAAAAAUCCUGGAGUUGUACGCCAAAGCGUGCGGUGUUGCCGAGGGUUGUGGGCGUGUCAGGAACGGGAGGCCACGCCCAAAUUAAACAGGAUGGAGCUGAAGUUGAUGUUGAGGAAGGCUCGAGACGGAUCUGCCGAGCACUGCGCUUCCUGGAGCAGCAGGUCAGCCUGGCGAGGAUGACGCUCAGGAAAUAAGACAUGCUGAUGUAACUCGAAAGCAGAUCUACGCUACGCUACACUGUUAUUACACAACCGGAGGUCUGCUCCAGAUGAAGAGACGAGGCUCGGCACAAACGAAGCUUCGCCAUCUGGUUUCCGUGGAAGUGAGGACGAGGAGCGCUGAGGUAAAGCCUCACUCGGGGUACAGACGGAGACGGAGCGGACUUCAGGCCGCACGCUACAGGUCAAUUUGAAAAACUAUAUAAUCCACAUCUGCUGUCUCUCAUCUUCACAGGUAGUGCUGUCUCCUAUUAGACAAAGCUGAGGGAACUUCAAAGGCGUCCAUCACAAGAGGAUUUUGACCGUCUGACUUUUUCCCGGCACCCGCACAUGGAGCGCAUUACGAAACCGGGACGAGGACGCUGAACAGGGUUUACGCUGAAAUGCAGGAUGCUGGAGGUGACCUUCAGGUGUGAACUCCUCCUGCUCUCUGACCGUAGUGCUUUCACACAGGCUGCUAAUUAUCCCUUCAUAAAUCGCUAGCAGCUCGUAAACCGGCGCCCCUGAGGACUCCGGGACUCUGCAGCUCUGCUUAGUGUCACUAAAAGGAAACGGGCGUCGCUCAUAAAGGGAUUUUCGCUGAUUAGCGGCAAUCGCAGCAAGUCGGGCAUGACGUUAGGGGUGUGUAAUCAUGGAGAGCCAGAACCUGAAAGAUCUCAGGAGGCAGAAUUCCAGAAAGUGACAUGCUUCACAUAAUAUAACAUACGAACGCACAGAAAAACAUAUCGUAGCUAAUACUAGCGAAGAUAAUAUAAUCAUUGUGUUGUGUGUCAAGUUCUCACGUUAUGGCUGAAUACUAUUCUGUCUGUAAAGCGUAUGCAGGGUUUGAUUUCCCAAUCACGAGUUAUAUCGCUG